GUUAUAUGGUCAAGUGAAGAAGCGCAUACGGUGGAUGCCUUGGCAGUCAGAGGCGAUGAAAGACGUGGUAGCCUGCGAAAAGCUUCGGGAGUCGGCAAACAGACUUUGAUCCGGAGAUCUCUGAAUGGGGGAACCCACCUAGGAUAACCUAGGUAUCUUGUACUGAAUCCAUAGGUGCAAGAGGCGAACCAGGGGAACUGAAACAUCUAAGUACCCUGAGGAAAAGAAAUCAACCGAGAUUCCCUUAGUAGUGGCGAGCGAACGGGGAUUAGCCCUUAAGCUUCAUUGAUUUUUAGCGGAACGCUCUGGAAAGUGCGGCCAUAGUGGGUGAUAGCCCCGUACGCGAAAGGAUCUUUGAAGUGAAAUCGAGUAGGACGGAGCACGAGAAACUUUGUCUGAACAUGGGGGGACCAUCCUCCAAGGCUAAAUACUACUGACUGACCGAUAGUGAACCAGUACCGUGAGGAAAGGCGAAAAGAACCCCGAGAGGGAGUGAAAUAGAACCUGAAACCAUAUGCGUACAAGCAGUGGGAGCCUACUUGUUAGGUGACUGCGUACCUUUGUAUAAUGGGUCAGCGACUUCAUAUUCAGUGCAAGCUUAACCGUAUAGGGUAGGCGUAGCGAAAGCGAGUCUUAAUAGGGCGUUUAGUCGCUGGGUAUAGACCCGAAACCGGGCGAUCUAUCCAUGAGCAGUUGAAGGUUAGGUACACCUGACUGGAGGACCGAACCCACUCCCGUUGAAAAGGUAGGGGAUGACUUGUGAUCGGAGUGAAAGGCUAAUCAAGCUCGGAGAUAGCUGGUUCUCCUCGAAAGCUAUUUAGGUAGCGCCUCAUGUAUCACUCUGGGGGGUAGAGCACUGUUUCGGCUAGGGGGUCAUCCCGACUUACCAAACCGAUGCAAACUCCGAAUACCCAGAAGUGCCGAGCAUGGGAGACACACGGCGGGUGCUAACGUCCGUCGUGAAAAGGGAAACAACCCAGACCGCCAGCUAAGGUCCCAAAGUUGUGGUUAAGUGGUAAACGAUGUGGGAAGGCUUAGACAGCUAGGAGGUUGGCUUAGAAGCAGCCAUCCUUUAAAGAAAGCGUAAUAGCUCACUA
rnacentral:rRNA from 1 species